rnacentral:lncRNA from 1 species
GCCACCCCCUUUUCCCUACACUCCUGUCAAUGUAGGGGUCAUUAAACCCACAGCAGCCAAAGGUGGUCCCACCCUUGAAGGAGCAGCCCACAAAGCAGGUCCCAGACAUCCAGAGAAGCCCAACUAUCAGUCAUCAUUUGCCCCUUCAGCACCAUCUCAGCCUUCAGUGCCUUCUCCCUUCACACCUCAGCCGGUGCCAGCAAUGUCUGUGGCACCUCACCACGUUGCCCCUUCCCAGGCCAGCACAGGUCCACAAACAAGUGUCUAUUCCAGAGGGCACCCAUAUCCACAAUACAACUUGGGCUUGAAUCCAGCAACUGUCUCAGGGCCAGCUAUGUCACCGUCUCAGCAAUUUGGACCAGUGGGAGUCAGACCCAUUGGUCCUGCUCCCUUCUCCAGCCAACCCUCUCUGCCAGGACAGUCCAUGYCCAUGACAUCUCCUGGUGUUCCACCACCCAGGCCUGCCCUCUUCACUCCAGCCUCAGUCCCGUCAUCUCAGCUUCCUCCAGCUUGUCCUCUCCCUGUGGCAAACCAGCCUCCUCUAGACUUCUCUUCAGCACCUUUCAACUGCCCCAUGAACAUGGGUUAUCCUCAGGGAGGUCCUGGAGCUCCAUCUACUAAACCACUGCCAGCAGCCAUUCCUCCUCCUCCCACAGGUUUCUUCCCUUGGCUAGAUCCCCACACGGAUAAUGCAGCUCAGGAAUCUUGGAGUGAUCCCUCUACUGGAAGAGGAGGCCUUCAAAAGAAAAAGUUGCCUGAGAAAUUUACUCCUCUGGCCCCCAUCACAGCUCCAGUAAUGGGCCUNNNNNNNNNNNNNNNNNNNNNNNNNNNNNNNNNNNNNNNNNNNNNCCCAAGGGAUCCAUCCUCAGCUAUCCAGGUUGCAAGAAUCUGGCCAGUCACCCCCAGGAGCACCCAAGGAAGGCAGCCUACAGUAUCACCAGCUACCUGGGGAAAGCAUUGA